AUGAAACAUAUACAAGGUCCGUUUGCACAAUUUUCAUCUUUUCGUCUACUUUUUAAGCCUGUGUGUGCUUUGGGGCAUUUUCCACGGCACAGAUUUAUAACAGUGAAUUUAUCUAAUCCUCCAUGAUGGACAGUAACGUGAGGAAAUCAGGGAGAACGAACGUAACGCAAUUUUCGCUGCCAGUUAUUCUUUUGUCAUGGCGGGGAGGCGUGUGUGAGGCGGCGCGGGGUCACUAUUAUUGUUAUUUUGACGAGUGUGCGGCGCGGGGCGAGGGGUCCUUCACGCGGGUUCAGGAGGGACACACGGGGCACCGCUGGACGACCCUGCUGUGUGUGUGUGCGGAGGCAUAGGUGAGGGGCGGGCAGGUGGCUCGGGGGUCAUGUGGGCAGUGUCGCAAGUAGGCCGGGGCGCGCCGUGAUGCCCUGACCCCCGCUGAGCCCUUAAUGACGCCCCUGCCACCACACCACCGCCACCUCUACCACUACCACCGCCACCACCCACCAUAACCGCCGCCUCCGCUAAAGGUCCCGACGAAGGUGUUCAGCGGGCGGGCGGCGGUGGGUCGGGGGCCACAUGGGGACUGCCGCAAGUACGCCGUCGAACCCAAGCCUUCAACUCAGGGCAGGGCGCGAUGGGCUGAACCCCCACUGAGCCCUUAAUGUGACCCCCCACCCACCACCUCCACGCACCACCACCACCAC